rnacentral:lncRNA from 1 species
GUGAUCAAGUCAAGAUAAAGGAGCAAAGUUUGAAGAAACUCCAGACUUGACGUAUGUAACAAAAAUGUAGAAGGCAGCUCGACUCAGGAAUAAGAUGCAAGCAAGUGCUCUCCCUGCAGAUGAGAAGGGCCUUUAUAUGCGCUGUUGUGGGGAUCCACAGCCUGGCUCCCCCGUCAUCUAUCCACACCUGUGCCCACUUUCAACAAACACCCAUUGGUCCUUCCAUUGAAAGGAAUGAGCUGUUAGGAAAACAGAUCUCCACAUCUGCAAAGGAAAACCACCCAAGCCAGCUAUUCUCAUCAACUUAAUUUUUCGUGGUAACAAAUUUUAAGGGGUGAUCACCAAGUUUCUGAGGAAAAUUAACAGCAUGUCUUAAAAAAGACAAGUCUAAAAUGGAGUUGCUUAUGCUAAGCCCCACAACACCAAACCAAGACUUGAUUACAGUUUUGGCUCUCCCAGAAGUGGAAUCUUAAACCAAUGAAUAACGAGUGACCUGAUGGACCCCCACCAUCCUCCAAAGGAAAGUAACUUUGCAAUAACCAACCCACGUUUUUGCCAGUAUAACUUCAUUGUUCCUGCUCCCUUCUGCCUCGGAGCUCCUUUCUACCCACUAGAUUGGAUGCUGUCUGAUUCAAAUCUAUUUUUGCUCAAAUAAAUUAUUAAAAUUUUUAAUAAGCCUCAGUUUAUCUUUUAACAGUUCUGGGUCAGAAGAAGGAACACAAAGAGACUCCUAACAACCCCAAGGAGAAAUGAGCAAAUUUAUCAUUUCUCAAAAAAAAAAACCUGGGGUAGGCUCCUGUUGAGCCCCUUGAGCUCACUGCCUCUGCAGGUUGUGGGUAAAUUCCUCUCGGAUCCUGAAUCCCAGCCCCAAAGCUUUUGCCUUAUUAUUUUUCAGACGUUAUUUGAGCAUUUUUUUUUCCAGGCUGGUCCAGAAACUGGCCAGAGUUGGACUGGGUCUGACUUAAAAACUAACUGGGUCCAGCGUGAGGGCUUGGAUAAAUAAAAUUUUGUUUUAAGGCUGAACAAGCAAGUUAACGUUACCAAAGAUGAUCUUGCAUUACAGUGGCCACAGGGGAGAACUUUUAACCAUGUUAGAUAAGCUUAUCC